UACAGAGGGUGCGAGCGUUAAUCGGAAUUACUGGGCGUAAAGCGCGUGUAGGCGGCUUUGCAAGUCGGGUGUGAAAGCCCUCGGCUCAACCGAGGAAGUGCGCCCGAAACUGCAGAGCUUGAGUACCGGAGAGGAUGGCGGAAUUCCCCAAGUAGAGGUGAAAUUCGUAGAUAUGGGGAGGAACACCGGUGGCGAAGGCGGCCAUCUGGACGGAUACUGACGCUGAGACGCGAAAGCGUGGGUAGCAAACAGG
rnacentral:rRNA from 1 species